rnacentral:tRNA from 1 species
GGAGUGGUAGUUCAGUUGGUUAGAAUACCGGCCUGUCACGCUGGGGGUCGCGGGUUCGAAUCCCGUCCACUCCGCCA